UGUCAAGAGAUGGGUAUCGAACCCACGACCUUCCGCAUACCGGGCAGAUGCCAUGACCACUAGGCUACCCUGGAC
rnacentral:tRNA from 1 species